rnacentral:rRNA from 1 species
UUGGUGUGAAUUGCAGAAUCCCGUGAACCAUCGAGUCUUUGAACGCAAGUUGCGCCUGAAGCCACUAGGUUGAAGGCACGUCUGCCUGGGCGUCACGC